rnacentral:rRNA from 1 species
GAUGAACGCUGGCGGCGUGCCUAAUACAUGCAAGUCGAGCGGUAAGGCUUUCACAGUUUAUUUGACCAGGCGGUUCCUUAAGGAAUCAGCUUGCAGCGAUGUCCUCCGGCUGGAGGAUAUAGUCGAAUGAAGUGUGAAAGUACACGAGCGGCGGACGGCAGAGUAACGCGUAGGAACGUACCCCAAAGUGAGGGAUAAGCCCGGGAAACCGGGUCUAAUACCGCAUAUUCUCUUCGGAGCAAAGCCUUGUGCGCUUUGGGAGCGGCCUGCGUAUGAUUAGCUUGUUGGUGAGGUAAUAGCUCACCAAGGCGACGAUCAUUAGUUGGUCUGAGAGGAUGAUCAACCUGACUGGGACUGAGAC